GGGUUCUCAGUGCAGAGUUCUAGAAUCCUUUCUUUGCAUAGCUUCCUUCUCUCCUGUAAACUUCAGCUGACUCAAUUUCCCAAAUUUCAGUGUCUCUUUCCUUAACUCAGAGAGAUCAUCUACUCUGCUUAUGAUUCCCUUUCUUGCUCCAUGGCUUAGAAACUGCCUUCAGAAACAAGUUGG
rnacentral:lncRNA from 13 species